AGUCGCGCAUAGUAAUAUCGAUAACGUUUUUGUACAAUUAUGUGUAAUAUAAUGAGUAGUGAAAUACAAAUUAAAAAGAUACCAUGUUAAAAGUUUUGGGAUGUAAUGAAUUGAUACUUAUCAAAUGUGUCUCCACCAAGAAAUCUAUUCAAUGAUGUUGCUAUUCAUAACAAUAAAUAAAUUCCUUGCUUUUCUGUAAUAAUAGUCACUGCUACAAAUGGAAAACAAUUGUGGAUAAGUGGAUAUACAAAAGACCAGGAAUACCAGCAAUUUAAACAAUAUAAUAAAUAAUAAAUCACUGGAAACAUAAAAGGGAAAUAUACUGUCAACUGCAUCUGGACUUUUAACUUAAUACGUGAAUUGGACGCCCUUUUGAAGGAGCGAUUUUGGAGAUGAAUUUUAUUCUUAGUGUGCUGCUAAUAGCAACUCUAGGAGAUAAAUAUGACCACAGGCUGAACUUAAUAGCAGGUUCUCAGACACUGGCAGCAAAUAUUUGGUCUGACAAGACGGCUAUUCAAAAUGAACCCAUAAAUAUGACUGAUGUUAAUGCGACGGUAAAGGAUGCAAAUAACCAUAGUACCACCAUUACAAAUGUAGCUACGUUUGACACGAAAUUAAAUCACUUGUUAGUGGACACCAUUACUGGACGAGUCUUUGUUGGUGGUGUUAAUAGGUUGUAUCAGCUAUCGCCUGAUUUGGAGCUGUCCGAAACGGUAAAAACGGGACCCCAAAACGAUUCGGUAGAGUGUAGUAUACUCGACUGCCCGUUGAAUGCUGUUCGCAGUCCGACGGACAACUAUAAUAAAGUUUUGCUCAUAGAUCGUGCGACUUCUCGACUUAUUUCAUGCGGAUCACUAUUUCAGGGAACAUGCACAGUUCGUAAUCUUCAGAAUGUUAGCAUAAUUGAGCAUGAAGUGCCCGAUGCGGUUGUUGCAAAUGAUGCUAAUUCGUCAACCGUGGCUUUUAUAGCACCGGGCCCUCCACAGCAUCCAGUGACAAAUGUGAUGUAUGUCGGAGUUACUUAUACUAACAAUUCGCCAUACCGAAGUGAAAUCCCAGCCGUGGCUUCGCGCUCUCUUGAAAAAACGAAAAUGUUUCAGAUUGCUUCUUCGGCGGUUACGACUGGAACGAGAACUUUUAUUAAUUCUUACGCACGUGAAACAUAUUUUGUGAACUACGUUUUCGGAUUCAGCUCUGAGCGAUUCUCAUAUUUUCUUACCACGCAGUUAAAGCACAGUCACCAUUCCUCUCCCAAAGAGUAUAUAACGAAGCUUGUGCGAAUAUGCCAGGAAGAUUCAAACUAUUAUUCAUACACGGAAAUUCCAGUCGAAUGUAUAAGUGAUGCCCAGGGCGGCACUAAAUUCAACUUGGUUCAGGCCGGUUUCUUGGGAAAACCUAGCUCGGAUUUGGCUCAAAGUCUGGGUAUAUCCAUUCAGGAUGACGUGUUAUUCGCUGCUUUUUCAAAAGGCGACGGAAACACACCAACUAACAACUCUGCACUAUGCAUUUACUCAUUGAAAUCCAUUCGUCGUAAAUUUAUGCAAAACAUAAAAUCCUGUUUUAACGGUAAUGGGAUGAGGGGACUUGACUUUAUAUCACCCAGCAUGCCAUGUGUUUUAACGAAACUACAAACAAUUGGAGAGGAUUUUUGUGGACUCGAUGUAAAUUCUCCGUUGGGAGGAGAGAAUCCUAUUACUUCAGUGCCGGUUGCUAUGUUUAACACGAAGUUAACUUCAGUUGCUGCAACGAGCACUAGUGGAUAUACCGUUGUAUUCGUGGGCACAGCAGAUGGAUACCUCAAGAAAGUUGUAGUCGAAUCUUCAUCUGUUGCGAAUGAGUACGCCAGUUUUCCUGUGGACUUGGGCUCUGAAAUUAAUCAGGAUAUGCAGUUUGACAACCAAAACCUUUACAUGUAUGUCAUGUCCGAAACUAAAGUAUCAAAAGUUAAAGUGUUUGAUUGCUCUGAUUACAAGACAUGUGGAGAAUGCCUAGGUGCUAGAGACCCAUAUUGCGGUUGGUGCUCAUUGGAGAAUAAAUGUAGCCCACGAUCCAAUUGCCAGGACGACGCCAACGAUCCUUUAUAUUGGGUCAGCUAUAAAACUGGGAAAUGUACUACAAUAACAAGUGUUGUGCCUCACCAGCUACAGCGUACUACUGCUCGGACUUUAGAGCUUAUCAUAGAUCACUUGCCGCAACUAAAGGAGAAUUUAAUAUGUGCAUUUACCACAGAGGAUAAAGCACUCUUCACAAAUGCCACGAAAAAGAGAAAUGGCGUGAACUGUACAACACCGCGAACGGACAUGCUUCCCCAAAUUGAACAAGGGAAACAUCAUUUUACAGCCAAACUAUCUGUGCGUACCAGAAAUGGACCUGACUUAGUGUCAACGGAUUUUACUUUCUUUGAUUGCAGUACACACUCAUCGUGUACCCGUUGUGUGUCCUCGGAGUUUCCGUGCGAUUGGUGUGUUGAGGCACACCGGUGCACACACGACACGGCUGAAAAUUGUCGCAACGAUAUUUUGGUUACAGGCGUUAGCCGGAUAGGCCCAAGCUAUAGAUCAGGUCCUGGAUUUUGUCCAACGAUCAACGCUACAGGUGAUGGAAGUGAAGUACUGGUGUCUGGUGGAACAAGCAAAUCUAUAAAAGUUAAAGUUCAUAUAAUAGGACAAUUUAUAGUUCAAACGCGUUUCGUUUGCCAAUUUAAUAUCGAAGGACGUGUAACGAGUUUAAAUGCUCAAUUGUUGGGUGAUACCAUUUACUGCGAUAGCAUGGAGUUUCAGUACACCUCAAGAUCGCCCAAUUUGACAGCCACAUUCGCUGUUAUAUGGGGUGGUUCCAAACCUCUUGACAACCCUCAUAAUAUACAUGUUGUUAUUUAUCGAUGUCGAGAAAUGGCCGAUAGCUGUGGAAUUUGUUUAGCCCUAGCCGAAAAGUACAAUUGCGGAUGGUGUUCUUCUACUAAUACAUGCGAAGUUGAAGAGCAAUGUAAUAAGAACAAAGAGGGGAAAACUGAUUGGUUAAAUCGAAGUGAAAUUUGCCCAAACCCUGAAAUUCACACUUUCGAACCGAAAACGGGUCCCUGGGAAGGAGGAACUAACAUAACAAUUCGUGGUAUCAAUUUGGGCAAAAAUUAUAACGAUAUUUAUUCAGGCGUUCGAAUAGCUGGGAUAAAUUGUAUGCCGUUUCCGCAAUUUUACAUUGACACAAAGCAAAUCGUAUGUACUGUAGAUAGUCCUGGAGAACAAAUGUACAGAAACGGCAAAAUAGUGGUACAAAUAGGGGAUUAUCGAGGUGAAUCUAAGGAAGACUACGAAUUUGUUGACCCGAAAAUUUUGGAUUUUAAUCCUAAGUUUGGUCCAACUUCUGGUGGAACUGAAAUACAUAUAACUGGAAAGCACUUAAAUGCAGGCUCUCGUAUACAAGCAUCAAUAAAUGAUCAUUUGCCCUGCAAAAUUCUAAGCACAGAUUCUUCACAAGCUAUAUGUCGCACUUCACCUUCUCCUGGUAUCAUUGAAGGAAGGCUAAAAAUGUCGUUCGAUAAUGGUCCCCGAGAGUUUAAUGACUAUAACUUCAAAUAUGUUCUGGAUCCUACAGUUGAACACGUUAGUUCAGGGCCAAGUGGACAAAUAAAGAUACCGAAAGGAAUACCAGCUGGGGGCAUUCGAAUUUCCGUGAUUGGUACCCAAUUCACCAGUAUUCAAAAUCCCAACAUUUACGUAGUAUACAAUGGAGAGAUAUAUGCAAGCCAAUGCCGAGUGCAAUCGGAUACUGAAAUGGAAUGCUCAUCUCCAGCUAUCGACGUGGACAGCAAAAUUAUUGAAGCAGAAAGGCCAAUGCUUCUAGAAUAUGGGUUCCUUAUGGAUAAUGUUUUGCGGGUACAAAAUUUAUCGAAGAUUCAUAAUAACCAUUUUGAACUUUAUCCUAAUCCCGAAUAUUUUAUAUUUGAAGAAAGGGUUAAGUACUUCAAGAGUGAAUAUUUGACAAUAAAUGGCCGAAACCUAGAUCGCGCCUGCAAAGAGACUGAUGUGGAAGUAAAAAUAGGAAAUGGAUUUUGCAAUAUUACGUCUCUUUCAAGACAACAACUUACAUGUAGACCUCCUCCUGAAGCAACGGCAACUAAAAGCAUCAAUGGACCAGAAGUAAUUGUUCGUAUUGGAACUUCGCUGGAGUACCGUAUUGGUAUCCUUAGCUACGAAUCAUCAAACAUAAUUUUGGAUUGGGGAGAAAACGUAAUAUUUGCAGUAAUAGCGACAAUUGUUAUCUUAUUGCUGAUUUUUGUUGCUUUGCUCGUGGCAUAUAAAAAGAAAAGUUCAGAGUCUAACCGGGUGCUUCGAAACAUGCAGGAACAAAUGGAUAUAUUAGAGUUACGUGUCGCAGCUGAAUGUAAGGAGGCGUUUGCAGAACUCCAAACAGAGAUGACUGACCUCACAGGGGAUCUUACCUCUGGAGGCAUUCCGUUUUUGGAUUAUCGAUCGUAUGCAAUGAAGAUUCUUUUUCCGAAUCAUGAAGACCACAUUGUACUGCAAUGGGAGCGACCUGAGCUUCUUCGAAAGGAAAAAGGGUUGCGUAUUUUUGGCCAACUUAUUAUGAACAAAACUUUUCUGCUACUUUUUAUUCGAACCUUAGAGUCGAAUCGAUACUUUUCUAUGCGUGAACGAGUAAAUGUGGCCUCAUUAAUUAUGGUCACACUACAAUCGAAAUUGGAAUACUGCACAGAUAUAUUAAAAACUUUAUUGGGAGACUUGAUUGAAAAAUGUAUAGAGGGAAAGAGUCACCCGAAACUCUUAUUAAGGCGAACUGAAAGUGUGGCAGAAAAAAUGUUAAGUGCUUGGUUUACCUUUCUUCUGUACAAGUUUUUGAAGGAGUGUGCUGGAGAGCCGUUAUAUAUGCUUUUUCGCGCUGUAAAGGGGCAGGUAGAUAAGGGUCCUGUUGAUGCGUGCACACAUGAGGCGAGAUACUCUCUUAGUGAAGAAAAACUAAUACGCCAGUCCAUUGAUUUUCGACCAAUGAAUGUUUAUGCAAGCAUUAUACAACAGCCAAUAUUUUGCAAUAACUUAGAUAUGUUGCCUCCCCAUACCGAAAAUGUAUCCGUAAAGGUUUUGGAUUGUGACACAAUUGGACAAGUAAAAGAGAAAUGCUUGGAAACAAUUUAUAAAAACAUUCCAUCAAGCCAAAGACCGCGAAAAGAUGACUUAGACUUAGAGUGGCGAACAGGUGCUACAGGUCGAGUCAUUCUGUACGAUGAGGAUGUAACAUCUAAAACCGAAAGCGAAUGGAAAAAACUUAACACAUUGCAGCACUAUAACGUUCCAGACGGCGCUGGGCUGAGCCUAGUACCAAAGCAAAGUUCAAUUUAUAACUUUAGUAUUUUGUCGGAUAAAAAUGAAAAAUCGCACAAGUAUGAAACUCUUAAUAUAUCGAAAUACACCUCCUCCUCUCCGACAUUUAGCCGCGCCGGGAGCCCUCUAAAUAAUGAUAUGCAUGAUAAUGGUCUAAGAUACUGGCAUCUAGUGAAACACCAUGAUAGUGACAUGCAGAAAGAAGGCGAGCGGGUUAACAAAUUGGUAUCAGAGAUUUACUUAACCAGACUGUUGGCAACUAAGGGUACACUUCAGAAAUUCGUAGAUGAUCUUUUUGAAACGAUAUUUAGCACCGCUCAUCGAGGAUCGGCACUGCCCCUAGCUAUAAAGUACAUGUUUGACUUUCUCGACGAUCAAGCUCAGUUACAUGGUAUAACUGACCCAGAAGUUGUGCAUACCUGGAAAAGUAACAGCUUACCAUUGCGCUUUUGGGUAAACUUGAUUAAAAAUCCUAAUUUUGUCUUUGACAUACACAAGUCAAAUAUAGUGGAUUCCUGCUUGUCAGUUGUGGCACAAACAUUUAUGGACUCUUGUUCAACUUCUGAUCACCGGUUGGGUAAGGACUCACCAAGCUCGAAACUUCUAUACGCGAAAGACAUACCAGAGUAUCGCAAAUGGGUUGAUCGUUAUUAUCGAGACAUUCGCGAUAUGUCCCCAAUAUCAGAUCAGGAUAUGAAUGCUAUGCUUGCAGAAGAAUCAAGGCUGCACACAACAGAAUUUAAUACAAACUGUGCACUACAUGAGCUGUACACAUAUGCUGUGAAGUACAAUGAACAGCUAACUGUUACACUUGAAGAGGAUGAAUUUUCGCAAAAGCAGAGAUUGGCUUUUAAAUUAGAGCAAGUUCAUAACAUAAUGUCGGCAGAAUAAGAAUUUUCUCAUCCUACCACGCUGACAUAAGAAACACAAAAGUGAGCUCAUUUAUAAGAUGCAAUUUAUAAAAAUCAUUUGUAAAUGUCGUAUUUGCUCAUUUAAUGCUUAAAUAGUGUGGUAUUGUAUGUAUGUAUGUAUUUGAAAUAAGUAAUACUCUGUAAGAUUUAAUAUUCAAGAUAAAUUAAUCCAACUGAAAUAUCGACUGACUUUAAUUUUAACUUAAAAUAAAGUAAUUGAUUAAUAUUUAUAUAGUUUCUUACCUAUGUUAAAGAUUGCAGAUUAAGAAUAUUCAUGUAUUGCUUUUUUUGAACCGCAGUUCAUGAUCCUAAGUCACAUUCCUAAUGAUACGAUAUAUACAUAGAUAUAAAAUUUUGUGAUUUUAAUCAUCACGGAAAACACAUCUAAAAUCAAAGAAAUUAAAAAAUUAGUGUGUGUAAACAAAAGAGAUUGACGGUUAUUUUUUAUAUAAGUUGAAAAGGUUUUUUUAAUAUACACACAAACGACAAUGUUAUUUUUGUGAAAACUUAGUUACUUGGUCCUCGGGUUUGUAAAGAUAUUCAAAGUUCUAAUUUUAAAGAAAUGAUAGACAGCCAUACUAUAACGUGGUUUGAUUGAAUCGUUUUCUUAUAACCGUUUAAAAAUACAUAAAAGUUGGCCAAAUGUUAAAUAAAGUGUGUUCAAAUUGUGUUGCCCCUAAUAUCAAGGUUUUAAUGUACGUUUAAAAGAGCACCCAUAGAAAGGAUAAAUAAAUAAUUCGUAUUUGCAAUAUUAAAAUGAGUCGAAUACAAUGAAAGCACUAUAUCUUCUCGAAUUAUUUAUUGUUUCUAUUCUUCUGCCUAAAAGGAAUGAUGGUUCAUUUUACAUAUUGUUAAAGACACAAAUAUUUUAACUAAUAAUUCAUUUUUUCGUUUUUUUUUCGUUCGAGUCAUAAGCGGAUAUGUGAGUCUUAAAAAAAUGAAAUGGAGACUCGGAGAGACCAGAGAGGAAUAAAAAAAGUAGAGUGCCAUUACGGUGAUUUUUAAAGUUUAGUACCCUAUGACAGGGUACAAACAAAGUGUUAAGACCUUUCACCUAUACAAAUAAGUGAACCAAGCGAACUGUAAUUGUGGCUCUCAUUAUCAUUUAUCAUAUGUAUAAAUAAUUUAUUGGAAUAUAUUCAAUAUACAUGCUACCAUAAACAAAAAGUUGCUGAAAUCAGUACGUUUCAUUUCUCUUAAAAAUGUAUAUGCCACAAAAAAGUGCUCGGUAUUAUCAUGUUAAUUCAGCUCAUGAGAAUAUAUUUUGUAGAGUUAAAGCAGAUAUUUUUCCGUCUUAUAGCGUCAUUGAGUUGUACACCAUCAUCAUACAAAUUAUUAAUAGUCUUCGUUUUCCUAUUUUUAAGUAAAUGUCAUCUAGCCAUUACUUACUUUUACAAAAACAAAUGGAAAACAACUGUUUCUGUAACGGUUUGUCAAUUCCUUACCUUGGUAAUAUAUUUGAACACUCUUAGUUUUUUGUCCAUCAUGUCGCAACAUGAAAUUUAAAUUUCAUUUUGCAGAAAACAUUACGGUUCAUGGGACCACGUAACUAAAAAUGUCACCAAUAGUUUUAUAUAACGGUUAACUAUCCCUAUAAAAUAAAACAAAUCGUUUAAUUUAAAAAUUUGCAAUUAACUUUCACUUUAUUAAAUAUACCUUUUUUUUAUAUUUGUUGUAUUCAAAAAUAGUUUUCUUGGGCAUUAUUUUUUAUUAUAUAUACAUUUAAAGGUUUGAUUAUUUAUAAAAAGUUUUUUUAAUUGAUGUAAACUUUUUUUAAAUAUUUUGUAUACCACUAUAAACACAAAAAUUAAAUAUCUUUUUAACAAUUGUUAAUUUUCCCAAAUUAAAAAAUUGGUCAAAAAAAAUAAUUUUUUUUAUUCAACAUUUUAUCCGGUCAAUUUUUUGGUAUAAUAAAAAGUUACAUAUGAUCAUAAGGGAAUACAAUUGUAGUAUGUAAAUGUUUUAGACUAUAAAUUUCAUGUGUCUGUGUAUGUAUGUAUAAAUAAAAAUUAAAAUUAAUGUUCGAAUAAUAACAUAUUUUGAUAGUGUAUGUAUGGAUUGUAUAUAUUUAUUGCAUUGCGCAGAUGUCAUACUAUCUUUAACAUCAACAUGUGUCAAGGCUGGCAGACGCAAACUAAAACGUUUAUUAAAUGUUCUAAAAUGCACACAAAAAUUCCCACCAAAUAAAACCAAAUAAAGUAAAAUCGUCGAAAAAUAUCUUCGGAAAGCCGAUAAUUACAUACCAUACCCUUGCAAACAUAAAUGGCAGAGUUCACCAUUUAAAUUCUCUUUUUAUCACAAAUUUAAAUAAUAGUUCCUAUUACAAAGAAUUUAGUACAUUUUUGUUUAAUAAUCAUCAAAAAGUACAUAUGGGGUCAGGGACUGUAGGUAUAAUUUGCUUAAAAUACAAUCUUUUCUGAACAAUCGGUAAUUAUUGUAACAGUUUAACAGAAAAUUUAUGUUUUUUUUUUUAAAUAUUUAAAGAGUGCAGGUGUCAAAUUUAGUCCCAUCUUUUUUGGAAAAAAAAUAUUACGCAUAAUGCUGUGAGAUUAUUUUAAAAAUUUAUAUUACAAAAAUACAAAUCUAUCGAACUGUCCUAUGGCUUUGCUUUUAAGAGCUUUGUUUACUAUUUUAAAGCAUAGCAAAUACAAUUUGCUUAGAGUUUUGCGUAUGCUCAUAGAUUUGUAUGUGUAGACAAAUCCUUCACUAACAAGCUAACCCUUACGAAUUUUUUUUAAAUUUGCGUAGAUGAAAUAUAUUACCUAAAACAAAUACAAGGACUGAUGAGUUUGAAUUCAGAUUAUAAAACUAAAAAUGUAACCUAACCUUAAAAAACCAAACGGAAUUUAAAUUGCUAUGUACGAUUUUGCACCAGUCUUCAAUUUUUGUAUCAGUCGGAUUGCUGAUAAUUGCAAGGGUACAGCCAUGACUCAGCUUUCCAAAGUUUUUUUUUCGUUUUAUUUUUUAAAACGAUGGUUAUUCUGGCGUAUAUAUUGUUUAAUUUUUUUUUUUAAUCCAGCGCAAUAAAAUCUAAUUGAAGAAAUCUAUAAACAGUUUUUAAGUAAAUACACAUAUAUGUACUGGUUGUGCAAAAAAAUACUAUUAUUACAUAUGCUUAUAAAAUAUUUUUUAUGUUUCUUUAGGAUUAAAGGCUACGUAAUCCACUUAACAUAUCGCACAAAACGUUCUAGUAUAAAAACAUACAUACCGUUAAAACGAAUUUCACGAUAAUAAGAAAAUAUUAAACAUCGCCUCUGAUUACAAUUUAUUAUUUUAUAUUGCAAAAUGCUCGAAGUUCUGUAUGAAGAACUUAAAUGUGCUUGCUUCAAAGUAAAUUAUGAUAAUGAAAAUAAUCGUAUAAUGUAUAAAUGUACUGAAAUAAAUCAUGGUCUAAUAGGCAAUUUAAAAUGUAUCUAUACAAUAAGCGGAGUGGAACAAUAAGUUAAAUUGAAUAAUUUUAUUACAAACUCGCAUACUAAUUUUCUGACAAUUCUUGUUUGUUCCGUAAUGGCUAUAUAUAUUUUGCAAGGGUAUAUAUAUAUAAGAAGGCCGGACUAACUUUAAAAACGAAACGUCUUUCUACUUGUAUUCUCUAAGUAACGUUUAUAUGAAAAUUAUGGUAUUUUAAUCUAUGUGUGUGUAUACGUACGUGUAAUAUAUUUGAACAAAUAUACAAUUGUAAACUGUGUAAAA